rnacentral:rRNA from 1 species
GAGGUAAUGCCUGCCCAGUGACCAUAAAUUCAACGGCCGCAGUAUUUUAACCGCGCGAAGGUAGCGUAAUCACUUGUUUUCUAAAUAAAGACUAGUAUGAACGGCCACACGAGGACUUAACUGUCUCCUUUAUCCAAUCAGUGAAACUGAUCUCCCCGUGCAGAAGCGGGGAUAACACCAUAAGACGAGAAGACCCUAUGGAGCUUUAAACCAAACUAACUAUCUUUUUCUUAACCCCAAGGGAUUAACAAACACAAGAUACUAUUAAUGUAUGUUUUAGGUUGGGGCGACCAUGGAGAAAAACUUAACCUUCCUGACGAUUGAUAAACCAAGAGCUACAGCUCUAAAUAUUAAGACACUUAACCCUUAUUGACCCACUUUGUGAUCAACGGACCAAGUUACCCUAGGGAUAACAGCGCAAUCCAUUUCAAGAGUCCCUAUCGACAAAUGGGUUUACGACCUCGAUGUUGGAUCAGGGCACCCAAGUGGUGCAACCGCUACUAAAGGUUCGUUUGUUCAACGAUUAAAGCCCUACGUGAUCUGAG